UUUCUGUUAUAAACAUCUAUGAAUUAAAUUCACAUGUCUGACUUCAGAGAUUUUAUAAAAAUCUAUGAGAAGAAAAUUCAUGUUAUCGGAAGAACAGUAG